rnacentral:lncRNA from 1 species
UAGCCCUGAGAGAGGGAGUGAAUGUUACACGCUGCUGAUAAUCUCCAGAAGUGAUCCAUUUCUGUAAUCGGAUCUCUUCUCCAGUCAGAGAGACCUAACACAUCAGUCUUCAUAUAUCAUCUUCAUGAGCUAAAUUGCCAGAGAAGUUUAUGAUCUAACUUCAGAAAAAUUCUCUGUGAAAACAAAUCAUUUAUUUUUCCAGAUGCCUGGACUGGAGUAUGCAACAUGCGACAUUCAAGGAUUAUCUUGUACUGGAAUUCCAGAACAGUGUGAAACAGAAAGAAGCAAAAGAAAUACAAAACUAACAUGGGAAAUAUUGGGAGAAAAAGUGGAAAGAGAGAAAUCCUGCCAUUUCUGCUAAUCUACUUGAGCUUUCAAAUACUUUUUCUUUUUGAGCUCUCAAAUAUGAAAGUUCAAAAUUCAAUGCACUCACAAUAAAUUUGGAUACAUGGCUUGAUAAGGAGUAUGG